CCUANGGGAGGCAGCAGUGAGGAAUUUUGCGCAAUGGGGGAAACCCUGACGCAGCAACGCCGCGUGAGUGAAGAAGGCUUUCGGGUCGUAAAGCUCUGUCAAGAGGGAAGAAAGUGGGAGAUGGUAAUACUGUUUUCUAUUGACGGUACCUCUGAAGGAAGCACCGGCUAACUCCGUGCCAGCAGCCGCGGUAAUACGGGGGGUGCAAGCGUUAUUCGGAUUUAUUGGGCGUAAAGAGCGCGUAGGCGGUUUAUCAAGUCAGAUGUGAAAGCCCUGGGCUCAACCUGGGAAGUGCAUUUGAAACUAGUAGACUUGAGUAUGGGAGAGGGGAGUGGAAUUCCUGGUGUAGAGGUGAAAUUCGUAGAUAUCAGGAGGAACACCGGUGGCGAAGGCGACUUCCUGGACCAAUACUGACGCUGAGGCGCGAAGGCGUGGGGAGCAAACAGGAUUAGAUACCCUUNUANUC
rnacentral:rRNA from 1 species